GGGAACACAAAAUUCUCUAACACAACCUCGCCCAGGCCUUACAAGAAUUUCCCCAGAAUUCAGCAGAGUACAGCACUUUUGACUGUUGGUUGAAUUUCUGUUUAUCCUGCUUCUCUUCUAAAUGGCUCUGCAGGUGAAGAACAAGAUCCCUGGAGAGGAUUAGCUGCCUGCCUGAGGUUACACAGCAAGAAGGGUCUGUUGGAACUCAAAGUCUCACCUCUCCGAUGGCCCAGGAGCAGUGAGACCCAGCAGAGGCAGGGUGGGGAGAGAAGGACCUCUGUUAUCAGGGAUCUACGCUGAGUCUUGGAGAAGCUGGCUAACUCACUCAAGGUUCUCCAAAGUCAUUAUCACGGCUCCAAGUUUUUGUUAGGAACAUCUAGCCUGGGGCAUGGCAACCUUGGCACUAUUGACAUUUGGAGCAGGAUGAAUCUCUGUGGUCAGCUGCCCUGCCCAUCACAGGACAACUUUAACAACAUCCAUGGACCUUACCUUCUACAUGUUAGCAGCUCCUCCUCCACCUGAAGUGACCAUGAAAAAUGUCACCAGAUUCCGCCAAAUGUCUCUUCCAAAUAACACUUCAUUGAGAACACUGAAGUGAACACAGAUUGUCUUUAUGCACCGAGGAACAGAUUGGCAACUCCAGACAACCUUGAAAAGCUUUGGGCCUGGAGGACCACUCUCUUGGAUUCGACUGGGCCAUUUUCCAGCUCCGGACCCAGGAUUUUGUCACUUGGCCUCAAGAAUGAGAAUGACAACUCGUGUGCAUUGGGCUUCAGCAUUUUCCAGGCACAGAGCCACAGUGUGCACCCCCGUGCAGUCAUGUUACCAUGCCAGAGGAAGAACCUGACUGCCCUUCAUCCUACCCCCACUUUUAGGUAUUCAUCUCUCAGCUCCUUCUCUGUAGAGAUGAGUGAAUGCAGAAUGAGCACAGAGGCCCCGGAGUCCAAGAGUGCAAGACACUUGCAAACAUAAAGCUCCCUAUCAUUUCCAA